rnacentral:rRNA from 1 species
GAAAGGAAAUAUUCGGUAAAAGAUGGGCCCGCAUCUGAUUAGCUAGUUGGUGAGAUAAUAGCCCACCAAGGCAACGAUCAGUAGCCGACCUGAGAGGGUGACCGGCCACAUUGGGACUGAGACACGGCCCAAACUCCUACGGGAGGCAGCAGUGGGGAAUAUUGCACAAUGGGCGAAAGCCUGAUGCAGCAACGCCGCGUGAAGGAAGACGGUUUUCGGAUUGUAAACUUCUAUCAAUAGGGAAGAAAGAAAUGACGGUACCUAAAUAAGAAGCCCCGGCUAACUACGUGCCAGCAGCCGCGGUAAUACGUAGGGGGCAAGCGUUAUCCGGAAUUACUGGGUGUAAAGGGAGAGUAGGCGGCAAGGUAAGCGAUAUGUGAAAGCCUUAAGCUUAACUUAAGGAUUGCAUAACGAACUAUCUAGCUAGAGUACAGGAGAGGAAAGCGGAAUUCCUAGUGUAGCGGUGAAAUGCGUAGAUAUUAGGAAGAACACCAGUGGCGAAGGCGGCUUUCUGGACUGAAACUGACGCUGAGGCUCGAAAGCGUGGGGAGCGAACAGGAUUAGAUACCCUGGUAGUCCACGCUGUAAACGAUGAGUGCUAGGUGUCGGGGAGGAAUUCCCGGUGCCGG